rnacentral:misc_RNA from 1 species
GCUGUAAAACCUCAACCUGACGCCUUUGUCAUUAAUCUUGGGGAUCAAUUGCAGGCAGUAAGUAACGGUAAGUACAGAAGUGUAUGGCAUCGAGCUAUUGUGAAUUCAGAUCAAGCUAGGAUGUCAGUGGCUUCGUUUCUAUGUCCGUGUGAUAGCGCGAAAAUCAGUGCACCAAAGCUGCUGACAGAAGAUGGAUCUCCAGUGAUUU